rnacentral:rRNA from 1 species
CCAACUGCAUCCCUAGUACUGCGAGUGAGCGGGAAAAGCUCAAAUUUAAAAUCUGGUGGUCUUUGGCCUUCCGAGUUGUAAUCUAGAGAAGUGUUAUCCGCGCUGGACCGUGUACAAGUCUCCUGGAAUGGAGCGUCAUAAAGGGUGAGAAUCCCGUCUUUGACACGGACUACCAAGGCUUUGUGAUGCACUCUCAAAGAGUCGAGUUGUUUGGGAAUGCAGCUCAAAAUGGGUGGUAAAUUCCAUCUAAAGCUAAAUAUUGGCGAGAGACCGAUAGCGAACAAGUACCGUGAGGGAAAGAUGAAAAGAACUUUGGAAAGAGAGUUAAACAGUACGUGAAAUUGUUGAAAGGGAAACGCUUGAAGUCAGUCGCGUCUUCCGGAAAUCAACCUUACUUUUGCUUGGUGUACUUUCCGGUUGAUGGGCCAGCAUCUGUUUUGGACGCUGGAAAAGGGUUAGAGAAAUGUGGCACCUUCGGGUGUGUUAUAGUCUCUAAUCGGAUACAGUGGCUGGGACUGAGGAACUCAGCGCGCCGUAUGGCGGGUGUUCGCGCUCCUUCUCGCUUUUCAGACGCCGGAAUCAUGUCUUUAAUCCCCGCCUCAAGACACGCACAACAGAGUCAC